UCCUCUGUCAUUACGUCACCGCCUCCCCGGCGUGAAAUAAGGCGCGCGCGACUUCGUGGCGCAUGCGCGGCCCUGCCCCCUCGGCGCGCAGAAGCGAAAGGAUGACCCUCUGUGCGUGGCCCGCCCACCUCGCCGUCUUUGUGCCGAAGAAAAGCUUCACGCAUGCGCAGCAGCGUGCAGGUGCUGGAACUGCAGUCCCGCUAAGGGGCGCUAGAGGCGCUCGGAUGGCUCUGGCGGAUCACCAGCUACCGCUUCUCGACCCACCUUCAGAUAUUUAAACUUCCAACUUACUUCCUUUCCCCUAAUGUCAGCGGGCGGGAGUUGAUGUCCUUCCUUAUCUCCACUAAUAAAAGAGUAACAUGCUAAUUGACCAUACAUUCGUGACACCCACCAGCCAAUCAGGAAUGAGUAUGCAAAUUAACCCAACAAAGAUGGUAGGUUAAUUUGCAUAUGCAGGCA